rnacentral:rRNA from 1 species
UACGUAGGGACCAAGCGUUGUUCGGAUUUACUGGGCGUAAAGGGCGCGUAGGCGGCAUGACAAGUCACUUGUGAAAUCUCCGGGCUUAACGUCGGAACGGCCAAGUGAAACUGGUCAAGCUAGAGUGCGGAAGGGGCAAUCGGAAUUCUUGGUGUAGCGGUGAAAUGCGUAGAUAUCAAGAGGAACACCUGAGGUGAAGACGGGUUGCUGGGCCGACACUGACGCUGAUGCGCGAAAGCCAGGGGAGCAAACGGG